AUUACGUGUGUUAACGCUCGUAGUUGGAUUUCGGGUGGGUUCUAGCGGUCCGCCUUUUGGUGUGUACUGCUAUGGCUCACCUUUCUGACGGGGACCCGCUCUUGGGCUUAACUGUCCGGGACGGGGAAUCGUCGAGGUCACCGUGAGUAACUCGUAGUGUUCAAAGCAAGCAUUCGCUCUGAGCGCAUUAGCAUGGAAUGACAAUAUAGGACUCUGGCCUAUCUUGUUGGUCUGUAGGACUGGAGUAAUGAUUAAGAGGGACAGUCGGGGGCAUUCGUAUUUCAUUGUCAGAGGUGAAAUUCUUGGAUUUAUGAAAGACGAACUACUGCGAAAGCAUUU
rnacentral:rRNA from 1 species